AACGAACGCUGGCGGCAGGCCUAACACAUGCAAGUCGAGCGGGCGUAGCAAUACGUCAGCGGCAGACGGGUGAGUAACGCGUGGGAACGUACCUUUUAGUUCGGAACAACACAGGGAAACUUGUGCUAAUACCGGAUAAGCCCUUACGGGGAAAGAUUUAUCGCCGAAAGAUCGGCCCGCGUCUGAUUAGCUAGUUGGUGAGGUAACGGCUCACCAAGGCGACGAUCAGUAGCUGGUCUGAGAGGAUGAUCAGCCACAUUGGGACUGAGACACGGCCCAAACUUCUACGGGAGGCAGCAGCGGGGAAUAUUGGACAAUGGGCGCAAGCCUGAUCCAGCCAUGCCGCGUGAGUGAUGAAGGCCCUAGGGUUGUAAAGCUCUUUUGUGCGGGAAGAUAAUGACGGUACCGCAAGAAUAAGCCCCGGCUAACUUCGUGCCAGCCGCCGCCGUAACAC
rnacentral:rRNA from 1 species